GAGGAAGGUUCGCUUAACAAAUGAAUCCUGCUAAGCUUCAUUCCCCUCGGUUGAACUCCGGGGCUAUCCCCAAAA
rnacentral:tRNA from 1 species